GAUGAACGCUGGCUACAGGCUUAACACAUGCAAGUCGAGGGGAAACACCAUCGAAAGCUUGCUUUUGCUGGACGGCGACCGGCGCAAGGGAGAGUAACACGUAUCCAACAUGCCAAUCACUUGGGAAUAACCUUGCGAAACUAAGACUAAUACACAAUGACAUCCCAAGAAGUCAUCUGAAUGGGAUGAAAGAUUUAUCGGUGAUGGAUGGGGCUGCGUCUGAUUAGCUGGUUGGCAGGGUAACGGCCCACCAAGGCAACGAUGAGUAGGGGUUCUGAGAGGAAGGUCCACCACAUCGGAACUGAGACCCAGUCCAAACUCCUACGGAAGGCAGCAGUGAGGAAUAUUGGGCAAUGGGCGCGAGCCUGACCCAGCCAAGUAGCGUGCAGGAUUACGGCGCUAUUGGUUGUAAACUGCUUUGAUAAGGGAAUAAAGUGGGUCUCGUGAGACUUUUUGCAGGUACCUUAUGAAUAAGGCCCGGCUAAUUCCGUG
rnacentral:rRNA from 1 species